rnacentral:rRNA from 1 species
AGUGAACGCUGGCGGUAGGCCUAACACAUGCAAGUCGAACGGCAGCACAGUAAGAGCUUGCUCUUACGGGUGGCGAGUGGCGGACGGGUGAGGAAUACAUCGGAUUCUACUUUUUCGUGGGGGAUAACGUAGGGAAACUUACGCUAAUACCGCAUACGACCUACGGGUGAAAGCAGGGGAUCUUCGGACCUUGCGCGAUUGAAUGAGCCGAUGUCGGAUUAGCUAGUUGGCGGGGUAAAGGCCCACCAAGGCGACGAUCCGUAGCUGGUCUGAGAGGAUGAUCAGCCACACUGGAACUGAGACACGGUCCAGACUCCUACGGGAGGCAGCAGUGGGGAAUAUUGGACAAUGGGCGCAAGCCUGAUCCAGCCAUACCGCGUGGGUGAAGAAGGCCUUCGGGUUGUAAAGCCCUUUUGUUGAGAAAGAAAAGCAGCAGGUUAAUACCCCGCUGUUCUGACGGUACCCAAAGAAUAAGCACCGGCUAACUUCGUG